GAAUGCUGACAUAAGUAACGAUAAAGCGGGUGAAAAGCCCGCUCGCCGGAAGACCAAGGGUUCCUGUCCAACGUUAAUCGGGGCAGGGUGAGUCGACCCCUAAGGCGAGGCCGAAAGGCGUAGUCGAUGGGAAACGGGUUAAUAUUCCCGUACUUGGUGUUACUGCGAAGGGGGGACGGAGAAGGCUAUGUUGGCCGGGCGACGGUUGUCCCGGUUUAAGCGUGUAGGUGUGUGUUCCAGGUAAAUCCGGUUCACUUUAACACUGAGGCGUGAUGACGAGGCACUACGGUGCUGAAGCAACAAAUGCCCUGCUUCCAGGAAAAGCCUCUAAGCAUCAGGUAACAUCAAAUCGUACCCCAA
rnacentral:rRNA from 1 species